rnacentral:rRNA from 1 species
GAUGAACGCUGGCGGCGUGCCUAAUACAUGCAAGUCGAGCGAACGGACGAGAAGCUUGCUUCUCUGAUGUUAGCGGCGGACGGGUGAGUAACACGUAGAUAACCUACCUAUAAGACUGGGAUAACUUCGGGAAACCGUAGCUAAUACCGGAUAAUAUUUUGAACCGCAUGGUUCAAAAGUGAAAGACGGUCUUGCUGUCACUUAUAGAUGGAUCCGCGCUGCAUUAGCUAGUUGGUAAGGUAACGGCUUACCAAGGCAACGAUGCAUAGCCGACCUGAGGGGGUGAUCGGCCACACUGGAACUGAGACACGGUCCAGACUCCUACGGGAGGCAGCAGUAGGGAAUCUUCCGCAAUGGGCGAAAGCCUGACGGAGCAACGCCGCGUGAGUGAUGAAGGUCUGCGGAUCGUAAAACUCUGUUAUUAGGGAAGAACAUAUGUGUAAGUAACGGUGCACAUCUUGACGGUACCUAAGCAGAAAGCCACGGCUAACUACGG